ensembl:lncRNA
AGACAGUCUAUAAAGUGCAUGGUUACAUUUUUAUAGAGAUAUUGUGUUGUCUGAGAACCGUGGCUCAGUCAUGGGAUUUCCUCGUGUUUCCUUUAUGUGCCUCUGUAGGGAGCGAGAAAGAAACAUUUAUUCAAACUCACCACGAAGAAAAUAAAUGCAUGAUGACGAUCCUGAGAGGAAAAAAAUAAUGUUAUUAUAGAGUUAUGUUACACAAAUCUUCCAAGUGCUAUUACACAGUUUCUGUUGAGAUGGUCAAGGGGAAUUACAUACUGUACUCACACACACAACCAUGUUUGUUUUCCUUUAUUGUGUGUUUUGUUUUUCCUGUGUUGGUUCAAUGAGUGUCUUCUUGAUGUGCCUGAUUUAACUCAUAGGCAGUAGAACAAGCCCUGUACAAAUUGGACCUCCCUGUCUAUUUGUGGAGAACUGGCGUUGUGAUCAAUUUUCUAUUGUCCAAACUAUUGACCCUUCCUGUUUCAGACAUUGCACCUACACUCUGAUUCUACAUUACUGUGGGCCACUGAUUCAACCCUGGGUGCUUUUAUACACUAACGCCUCACUCUAAACCCUCACUGUAACCCCUCACUGUAACCCCUCACUCUAAACCCUCACUCUAAACCCUCACUGUAACCCCUCACUGUAACCCCUCACUGUAACCCCUCACUCUAAACCCGCACUGUAACCCCUCACUCUAACCCCUCACUCUAAACCCUCACUGUAACCCCUCACUGUAACCCCUCACUCUAAACCCUCACUGUAACCCCUCACUGUAACCCUCACUGUAACCCUCACUGUAACCCCUCACUGUAACCCCUCACUCUAAACCCUCACUCUAAACCCUCACUGUAACCCCCACUGUAACCCCUCACUCUAAACCCUCACUGUAACCCCUCACUGUAACCCCUCACUCUAAACCCUCACUGUAACCCCUCACUGUAACCCCUCACUCUAACCCUCACUGUAACCCCUCACUCUAAACCCCUCACUCUAAACCCUCACUGUAACCCCUCACUGUAACCCCUCACUGUAACCCUCACUGUAACCCCUCACUGUAACCCCUCACUGUACAUCAUUCCAAUCCCCAUCUCUGAUAACGAUGGCUCAAAUGAUCAGAUUUGAUAACCCAGUUCAAAGUGCACUGAAAUUAUUUUUUUAUUCCAACCAGCUCCAGUAGGUUGUAGUUUAAUUCCAACCAGUUCCAGUAGGAUUUAGUUUUAUUCCAACCAGCUCCAGUAGGAUGUAGUUUAAUUCCAACCAGCUCCAGUAGGAUGUAGUUUUAUUCCAACCAGCUCCAGUAGGUUGUAGUUUUAUUCCAACCAGCUCCAGUAGGUUGUAGUUUUAUUCCAACCAGCUCCAGUAGGUUGUAGUUUUAUUCCAACCAGUUCCAGUAGGUUGUAGUUUAAUUCCAACCAGCUCCAGUAGGUUGUAGUUUUAUUCCAACCAGCUCCAGUAGGAUGUAGUUUAAUUCCAACCAGUUCCAGUAGGUUGUAGUUUAAUUCCAACCAACUCCAGUAGGUUGUAGUUUAAUUCCAACCAGUUCCAGUAGGUUGUAGUUUAAUUCCAACCAUCUCCAGUAGGUUGUAGUUUUAUUUUACCUGCAAUAUUUUCCUAUCUGUUAUUGUAUAACAUUUACAGUCAUUCUAAUUGAUAUUUUAAGCAGAUCAAAUGAUGUUGGUAAUAAUGAGCCACUAUCCUUGUGGAAGUCAUAGACUUCAAAUGAAAUUGAAUACAGGCCCGCUCCUAAAAACACCAGGUUUGAAUCAUGUAUUGUAAAUGGUGCAUAUCAAAUGUUUACAAUAGUGUAUUCCUCUUCAUUGUUUUAUUUCAUACAUGCUGGCUUUAAGACACUGUUCCCUCACUAUAUGGUCAGAUGAACCAGACACAACACAUGCCACUGUCCCAAGUAUGUACUACAGCCACCAUUACUACCCUCAAUGAGGUGACUUGUAUACAUGCAAUGGUUUUUGUUCUGGACUUUGGUGUCUUUCGCCUAGACCGCGGAUCUGUUGAAUCUGCGCUACAAUCUUGUCCUGCGGUCAUAUUCCUCCAAACGUAAACACAAUAGACACUAUGUACCUGUGUAUGAUUCAACAUGUCCCGAUAUUUGUAUUUUAUUUUCAAAUUAAAAUCAUUAUAUUAUUAUCUGUUUCUUCUAAGAGUCAGUUGGAUUGGAAGGGAAUAUCAGUGAUGGAGGUAACCAAUAUGUGUAUUGUGUAAAAAUAGUGUAUGACCAUCAAUGUACUUGUCAUUCUACAUGUAACGUUACAACAACCUGCCUGCAUACACUAAGGAGACAUAUCUGUAUAUAUUAAUCAAUACUAUUUUUACUGCAUUUUUGUACAAAUAUUCAUGGUAGCCAUGUACAAGUAGUUCAAAUGAUUCUAUGGUAGUAUUAAA